rnacentral:rRNA from 1 species
ACCCAAUAGAUACCCGGGUAGUCCACGCCGUAAACGAUGGGCACUAGGUCCUUGGGGGAGCGACCCCGUGAGGGCCGGCGCUAAACGCAUUAAAGUGCCCCGCCUGGGGAGUACGGCCGCAAGGCUGAAACUCAAAGGAAUUGACGGGGGCCCGCACAAGCGGUGGAGCAUGUGGUUUAAUUCGACGCAACGCGAAGAACCUUACCUAGGCUUGACAUGGCCGGGAAAGCCAGGGGAAACCUUGGCCCCUCUUCGGAGUCCGGUCACAGGUGCUGCAUGGCUGUCGUCAGCUCGUGUCGUGAGAUGUUGGGUUAAGUCCCGCAACGAGCGCAACCCUUGUCACUAGUUACCAGCGGGUCAUGCCGGGCACUCUAGUGAGACUGCCGGUGCCAAACCGGAGGAAGGUGGGGAUGACGUCAAGUCAUCAUGGUCCUUACGUCUAGGGCUACACACGUGCUACAAUGGACGGGACAACGGGUUGCCAACCCGCAAGGGGGAGCCAAUCCCACAAAUCCGUCCUCAGUUCGGAUUGUCGUCUGCAACUCGACGGCAUGAAG